rnacentral:rRNA from 1 species
CCUACGGGAUGCAGCAGUGAGGAAUAUUGGUCAAUGGACGCAAGUCUGAACCAGCCAUGCCGCGUGCAGGAUGACGGCUCUAUGAGUUGUAAACUGCUUUUGUACGAGGGUAAACCCCGAUACGUGUAUCGGGUUGAAAGUAUCGUACGAAUAACGAUCGGCUAACUCCGUUCAAGCAGCCGCGGUAAUACGGAGGAUCCGAGCGUUAUCCAGAUUUAUCGGGUUUAAAGGGUGCGUAGGCGGUUUGAUAAGUUAGAGGUGACAUGUCGGGGCUCAACCCCGAAACUGCCUCUAAUACUGUUGGACUAGAGAAUAGUUGCGGUAGGCGGAAUGUAUGGUGUAGCGGUGAAAUGCUUAGAGAUCAUACAGAACACCGAUUGCGAAGGCAGCUUACCAAACUAUAUCUGACGUUGAGGCACGAAAGCGUGGGUAGCAAACAGGAUUAGAUACCCGAGUAGUC